rnacentral:rRNA from 1 species
AAUGAACGCUGGCGGCAUGCCUAACACAUGCAAGUCGAACGAAGGCUUCGGCCUUAGUGGCGCACGGGUGCGUAACGCGUGGGAAUCUGCCCUUGGGUUCGGAAUCACAGUUAGAAAUGACUGCUAAUACCGGAUGAUGACGUAAGUCCAAAGAUUUAUCGCCCAAGGAUGAGCCCGCGUAGGAUUAGCUAGUUGGUGGGGUAAAAGCCCACCAAGGCGACGAUCCUUAGCUGGUCUGAGAGGAUGAUCAGCCACGCUGGGACUGAGACACGGCCCAGACUCCUACGGGAGGCAGCAGUGGGGAAUAUUGGACAAUGGGCGUAAGCCUGAUCCAGCAAUGCCGCGUGAGUGAUGAAGGCCUUAGGGUUGUAAAGCUCUUUUACCCGGGAUGAUAAUGACAGUACCGGGAGAAUAAGCUCCGGCUAACUUCGUGCCAGCAGCCGCAGUAAUAC